rnacentral:rRNA from 1 species
CAGUGGGGAAUAUUGGACAAUGGGCGAAAGCCUGAUCCAGCAAUGCCGCGUGUGUGAAGAAGGCCCUCGGGUUGUAAAGCACUUUUAUCAGGAACGAAAUACCACGGGUUAAUAACCUAUGGGGCUGACGGUACCUGAGGAAUAAGCACCGGCUAACUUCGUGCCAGCAGCCGCGGUAAUACGAAGGGUGCAAGCGUUAAUCGGAAUUACUGGGCGUAAAGGGUGCGUAGGCGGUUGUUUAAGUCUGUCGUGAAAUCCCCGGGCUCAACCUGGGAAUGGCGAUGGAUACUGGGCAGCUAGAGUGUGUCAGAGGAUGGUGGAAUUCCCGGUGUAGCGGUGAAAUGCGUAGAGAUCGGGAGGAACAUCAGUGGCGAAGGCGGCCAUCUGGGACAACACUGACGCUGAAGCACGAAAGCGUGGGGAGCAAACAGGAUUAGA